rnacentral:ncRNA from 2 species
CUCUUAUCAAGAGAGGUGGAGGGAUGUGCCCUGCGAAACCCGGCAACCGUCUUUAUAUAGAAAUGGUGCCAAUUCACAAAAAGUUGAACUGCUUUUGAAGAUGAGAG